ensembl:snoRNA
UCCACCUUCUAAUAGCCACCACAUUGUUAUGGACAGGUGCAAAAUGAAACCUUGUUUUGAAACCCAGAACUCAUUGUUCAGUAUGAGUUUUGUUAUGCUUAGGAAGGACUAUU